rnacentral:rRNA from 1 species
UACGAAGGGGGCUAGCGUUGCUCGGAAUCACUGGGCGUAAAGCGCACGUAGGCGGAUUUCUAAGUUAGGGGUGAAAUCCUGGAGCUCAACUCCAGAACUGCCUUUGAUACUGGAGAGCUUGAGUCCGGAAGAGGUGAGUGGAACUCCGAGUGUAGAGGUGAAAUUCGUAGAUAUUCGGAAGAACACCAGUGGCGAAGGCGGCUCACUGGCCCGGUACUGACGCUGAGGUGCGAAAGCGUGGGGAGCAAACAGG